rnacentral:rRNA from 1 species
CGGCCUUAAAACAUGGCAAUGUCAAAACGGUCGAAGCCCAGCUUGCUGGGUGGAUCAGUGGCGAAUUGGGUGAGUAACACGUGAGCAACCUGCCCCUGACUCUGGGAUAAGCGCUGGAAACGGCGUCUAAUACUGGAUACGAGUAGCGACCGCAUGGUCAGUUACUGGAAAGAUUUAUUGGUUGGGGAUGGGCUCGCGGCCUAUCAGCUUGUUGGUGAGGUAAUGGCUCACCAAGGCGUCGACGGGUAGCCGGCCUGAGAGGGUGACCGGCCACACUGGGACUGAGACACGGCCCAGACUCCUACGGGAGGCAGCAGUGGGGAAUAUUGCACAAUGGGCGCAAGCCUGAUGCAGCAACGCCGCGUGAGGGAUGACGGCCUUCGGGUUGUAAACCUCUUUUAGCAGGGAAGAAGCGAAAGUGACGGUACCUGCAGAAAAAGCGCCGGCUAACUACGUGCCAGCAGCCGCGGUAAUACGUAGGGCGCAAGCGUUAUCCGGAAUUAUUGGGCGUAAAGAGCUCGUAGGCGGUUUGUCGCGUCUGCUGUGAAAUCCGGAGGCUCAACCUCCGGCCUGCAGUGGGUACGGGCAGACUAGAGUGCGGUAGGGGAGAUUGGAAUUCCUGGUGUAGCGGUGGAAUGCGCAGAUAUCAGGAGGAACACCGAUGGCGAAGGCAGAUCUCUGGGCCGUAACUGACGCUGAGGAGCGAAAGGGUGGGGAGCAAACAGGCUUAGAUACCCUGGUAGUCCACCCCGUAAACGUUGGGAACUAGUUGUGGGGUCCAUUCCACGGAUUCCGUGACGCAGCUAACGCAUUAAGUUCCCCGCCUGGGGAGUACGGCCGCAAGGCUAAAACUCAAAGGAAUUGACGGGGACCCGCACAAGCGGCGGAGCAUGCGGAUUAAAUUCCGAUGCAACGCGAAGAACCUUUACCAAGGCU